rnacentral:rRNA from 1 species
UAGGACCCGGGACGCAGCAGUGAGGAAUAUUGGUCAAUGGGCGGGAGCCUGAACCAGCCAAGUCGCGUGAGGGAAGACGGUCCUAUGGAUUGUAAACCUCUUUUGUCGGGGAGCAAAGAGACCACGUGUGGUCAAAAGCGAGAGUACCCGAAGAAAAAGCAUCGGCUAACUCCGUGCCAGCAGCCGCGGUAAUACGGAGGAUGCGAGCGUUAUCCGGAUUUAUUGGGUUUAAAGGGUGCGUAGGCGGGACGGUAAGUCAGCGGUAAAAAUGCGGAGCUCAACUCCGUCGAGCCGUUGAAACUGUC